rnacentral:rRNA from 1 species
GUGGGGAAUAUUGGACAAUGGGCGCAAGCCUGAUCCAGCCAUGCCGCGUGAGUGAUGAAGGCCUUAGGGUUGAAAAGCUCUUUUGUCCGGGAAGAUAAUGACUGUACCGGAAGAAUAAGCCCCGGCUAACUUCGUGCCAGCAGCCGCGGUAAUACGAAGGGGGCUAGCGUUGUUCGGAAUCACUGGGCGUAAAGCGCACGUAGGCGGACCAUUAAGUCAGGGGUGAAAGCCUGGAGCUCAACUCCAGAACUGCCUUUGAUACUGAUGGUCUCGAGUUCGGAAGAGGUUGGUGGAACUGCGAGUGUAGAGGUGAAAUUCGUAGAUAUUCGCAAGAACACCAGUGGCGAAGGCGGCCAACUGGUCCGAUACUGACGCUGAGGUGCGAAAGCGUGGGGAGCAAACAGGAUUAGAUACCCUUGUAGUCC